CCUACGGGAGGCUGCAGUGGGGAAUUUUGGACAAUGGGCGCAAGCCUGAUCCAGCUAUUCCGCGUGUGGGAAGACGGCCUUCGGGUUGUAAACCACUUUUGUAGAGAACGAAAAGUCUGUUGAUAAUACCGAUAGAUGAUGACGGUACUCUAAGAAUAAGCACCGGCUAACUACGUGCCAGCAGCCGCGGUAAUACGUAGGGUGCGAGCGUUAAUCGGAAUUACUGGGCGUAAAGGGUGUGCAGGCGGUUUUGCAAUAUGGAUGUGAAAGCCCCGGGCUUAACCUGGGAAAGCCAUACAUGACUGCAAGACUAGAGUGCGUCAGAGGGGGGUGGAAUUCCAAGUGUAGCAGUGAAAUGCGUAGAUAUUUGGAAGAACACCGAUGGCGAAGGCAGCCCCCUGGGACGCAACUGACGCUCAUACACGAAAGCGUGGGGAGCAAACAGGAUUAGAUACCCCUGUAGUC
rnacentral:rRNA from 1 species